GAUGAACGCUGGCGGCGUGCCUAAUACAUGCAAGUCGAGCGAACAGACGAGGAGCUUGCUCCUCUGACGUUAGCGGCGGACGGGUGAGUAACACGUGGAUAACCUACCUAUAAGACUGGGAUAACUUCGGGAAACCGGAGCUAAUACCGGAUAAUAUAUUGAACCGCGUGGUUCAAUAGUGAAAGGCGGUUUUGCUGUCACUUAUAGAUGGAUCCGCGCCGCAUUAGCUAGUUGGUAAGGUAACGGCUUACCAAGGCAACGAUGCGUAGCCGACCUGAGAGGGUGAUCGGCCACACUGGAACUGAGACACGGUCCAGACUCCUACGGGAGGCAGCAGUAGGGAAUCUUCCGCAAUGGGCGAAAGCCUGACGGAGCAACGCCGCGUGAGUGAUGAAGGUCUUCGGAUCGUAAAACUCUGUUAUUAGGGAAGAACAAAUGUGUAAGUAACUAUGCACGUCUUGACGGUACCUAAUCAGAAAGCCACGGCUAACUACGUG
rnacentral:rRNA from 1 species